rfam:Procavia capensis cont1.114922, whole genome shotgun sequence.
GGGGCUGGAAUGUAGAUGUUUGAAAGAAACGUGUAAAUAAAUGAAUUGUGGAUAACUUAGUUAUUGGCCUGGAGACUAGUAGCUUGUUAAAGAAACUCCA